GACAGAGGGUGCAAACGUUGUCCGGAUUUAUUGGGCGUAAAGAGCUCGUAGGCGGUUUGUCGCGUCUGCCGUGAAAGUCCGGGGCUCAACUCCGGAUCUGCGGUGGGUACGGGCAGACUAGAGUGAUGUAGGGGAGACUGGAAUUCCUGGUGUAGCGGUGAAAUGCGCAGAUAUCAGGAGGAACACCGAUGGCGAAGGCAGGUCUCUGGGCAUUAACUGACGCUGAGGAGCGAAAGCAUGGGGAGCGAACAGG
rnacentral:rRNA from 1 species